CUUUCUUUACUAGRGCUGGUGGUGAAAUUCUUAACCGCUAAGUAAACUAUGUCUCCGUUUUUUAAACUGUGAAGGUGCGGGCUUAAAUUAGGAUUAGAUACCCUGUUAUACCGCUCUAAUAAUAUUUGCUUGAGUAGUAAUCAGUUAUGUUCUUGAAACUUAAAGGAUUUGGCGGUGUUCAAGUCUGGUUAGAGGAACCUGCUUAGUAAACGAUAUGCCACGCAGCAUCUUACUUUUGUUCGUUUUCAGUUUGUAUACCGCCAUUAGCAAGUGAUGUUUAAAAACAGGUUCUGUAAUAAACUUAUUUAGUAUAUUAGGUCAAGGUGCAGCCUAUGCGAAAGUUUAAGUGGGUUACAAUGCUUUUUAAGGUGCGGAUUAGCGGGAUUCAGCCCGCUAUCAAGGUGGAUUUAAUUGUAAUUUCGCUUUAACAAGACGUCAUGAUAAAAGCUCUAGAAUAUGUACAUAUUGCCCGUCGCUCUCAUUA
rnacentral:rRNA from 1 species